GGAUUUGAGAAGAGGUUGCAGAUGAUCAAGGAGCAACACGUGCAGGGAUGGCUUGAAAAUGGCGAAGAGGUGCCCAAAGCCCCCUCCUGUGCAGCCUGAGCAUGCCUUGCUGAGGAUGAAGCCUGCUUUCCAGCAGUUCUGAAAACUGUGUUGAGGCUGAAAUGCUGCGUCUGUGUUUGGGUUGGCGUUGUACCUUGAUGAAUCAACCCACUUGUGUAACUCUCCAGAGGACUAAAACCCGCUUGAUUACAUGCUAGAAGAGGCUUGACUGUGUUGGUGCAGUAUUACCAAGAGACUGAGCAGGGUCACGUUUUUCAUCUGCAAAGGGAACGCAAGGCAUAGGCACGGAAACUUGAACGAAGCAUGAGGGUGAGUGGACAGCAGUGGGGGCCCCGAGUUGGUCGGUGGACUGUGUUAUUCUGCUUCACCUGUCGGGCUGGCUUUGCAAGUGCCUUGUGACAGCAGAGUACGUCUCCUGCCACGUUUCUGAGACAUGCCAGACGUCAGCGGUUCCAGUUCCUGAAAUGCUGGAGAUGCUCGGAGCACAAGAGGAGCUGGGAGCAUGAUGCAUCUCCUGGGGAUGUUAGCCCCGUGACCUUGGCUCAGCACAGUGAAUGGAAGCGCUAAGCCUGGAUCGGGAAGGUGAGUGGAGAAAAUUUGGAAAACGGGUAUUGUUUUUGCUGUAGUAGUCUCUUGGUGCACCUCUGGGUGACUCCUCUUUUGCAGGGACGAAGAAGGUCCUGGGAACAUCCUAGCUGGCCUCUGUGGUGCACAUUGAUAGUGGAUUCUGAGCCCUGAGAAUUAAGUCCAGGGGGAAAUACUGUGUGUUGUGGAGUGGUUGGCAGAGGGAAGUGGGGAGUUGUUUAAAGGGUGUCUAUCUGAUUUCAUUAGCAGAGCAGGUCAGUUGAUUACUGUUUUGUUUCUGAGGAGGUUGUUUCACUGGAAGAAAUUUGGCUAGUGUGCUGGCGCCUGAUGGCACUUCAUUUCUGCAGGUGAAGAGGAGCCUUGUGCCUGAAGCAAUGUCCUGGCUAGCCUUUGUGAGCCUUCCUUGGUGAGGAUGGAACCUGCCUCCCAGCAUUCCCAAGCUAACUCCCUUGCUGGCUGCAGCACUAUAUUUUGCUCGUAAUUCUGCGUGUGAAGAUCUGAAUGAAGACAAUGGAGUCGUAAGUGUUUAAAGCGUAUACUGUUCUGUUGGAUGGGUUUUGGUUGCCUGUGUGUGUAAGAGUGUGACUGAGACGGAAUUUAGUUCCGAAGCGAUUGUGGAGGUCUUCUUUACCACGGUUCCAAUGUCCCGCGGGGGACUUGGCCGGUGAAGGACCAAAGGGAUUCCCAAAGAAUUUGUGGGUGGGUGAUAGAUCUUAAAUCCUCUUUAAGACACUCUUAUUAAGGUAACCAAGGGCUGUGGGAAUUGCCAGAGUAACAUUCCUAGAUGGGUGAGACAAAACCGAAGACCAGGGACCAGAAGAAAGGGAGCAAAUUACCAGACAUACCACCAGAAAGUCCAUUAGGAAUAACAGUUAGAAACUGGAAGGAGAGAGGCCCCAGUAACGUAAAAAGUAAAUAAAACAUGGUUCAGUCUUGUGUGAUAGAAUGGCCAAAGGAGCCUUUAAGACCGCAUGUCUUUCGGCCCGUUUUUGGAUCCUUUGAAGACUGUAUUUGUCAGGCCUUAAAUACACAUGUUAAUUCGAAGGAACCUUUUUGCCGGGGAGAAAGUGAUUAUGCAGGAUUAUGGAUCAGGAUGACUUCAUGUCCUUUUACGGCCUUAAUAUUUACACUAAAAGCAGGUAAGAAAUUUUGAAGAAGAAGAAGAACAGGAAAAAUAAAAAGAUAAUAAACGGGAGCCGUUGGAUAACCUACCGUCUCCAUAUCGUAACAAUCCACCUCCGGUGGUGUACUGGGUCUGGCUGGAAUGUUAACUUUCCCAGCAGCAGCCCAUACAGUGCCGUACUCUGCAGUUGUAGCUGGAACAGCAGUGUUAUCACACCAGUGUUGUGUCUACUGCUGAGCAGC